AGGGUUCGCCUUCGUUGCCUUUUGAGCACACGGCUCAGUGUUUGCCUUCCAGCUCUGCUUUUCUCUACUGCCUCUCUUUUCCAGUCCUCCGCACUCGGCUUAUUGGUCCCAUGAACGCCGCGUCCUGCAGCCGCCUCAUCACUCAGCUGUCCAAAGUGAUGACAGCUACCGGUGGCGUACUGUCUAACGGACUCAGUGACCACUGGGCGGCCGUUUGUACACCGACGGUACUGUGGAAGUAAACGCUACGGGUACCCGUGUGUCGAAAAUCUGCACCCUGAAAAGUCCACACUUCUGUCUCCAGGCCAGGACAUGAGCUGCAUGCCUUAGAAACCCAAGGUCCACGGAACCAGUGAAACCACGCGCCCUAUACUGCAC